CUGAAUAUUACUAUAAUUUCUGAUCUUCUUAUGCUGCAGUAUCUUGAAAAGCCAAUCAAGGUAUAGUAACAUGUUUCACAUGAUAUGUCUCUGGUUAUGUUAAACAGGAAAAAAUGAAAGAGAAAAGAGAAUGGGCAAUUAUGACAGAAGCACGGACAUCGUGAAUCAAUGCAUAAGGCAGGUUGUAUCACUUUUCUUGAUCUGGUUGAUGUGUGUACUAUACUGCUGCGUGAAACAACCGGCCAAGGUUCCCUUGUUCCUAUGACUAUUUCUGGAGUCAAGUCUAUGGAUAUCACCGUUGCGGGACACACCGUUGCUAUAGCAGAUACAUGGAGAAUGCAGCUAAUUUGGUGGUCAAGGAUUUGAACUACCGCUGGUUAAUGCAAAUACAAGAAGAGAACGGACAUAUUAGGAGUCAGCUCACAUAUAUCGUUGUUCGGGAACACACCGCUGAUGUAGCGAGUUAUUAUCGUGUAUGCAGCACCAUUGUUUUGUGAAACCAAAAUGGAUCCAGAGCAAGGAGAAAUUGUGCUAUUACAUUGAUGAAAUGCUAUAGCACAGGUGGUGAUCUGGAAACACAUGAUUAGCAAAUUUGCGAAAUUAUCUGAGAUCUUCAACCAUUCCAUGCUGUCUUAUGCAGUGUUGUUGGCUUCAGGUGUUAUUGGACAUAGUUAAAUUUUUGUAGAAUGUACACAUGAAUUCCACCGGCUAUGUUCUGUAAUAUAACUAUUUCAAUAUUAGACUU